rnacentral:pre_miRNA from 14 species
AAAACGUGCCACGCUGGAUGUGCUCGUUAGUCAUAAUAACCUCAUUUAGUAAGGCUUAUGACUAGAGACACAUUCAGCUUGGCGCCGAACUAU